GGCCCAAGCCAUUACUCUACCUUUGGCAUCGGGGGAAAUUCCAGCUUCUGAUCAUGGGGCCGGCAGUGCCGCAGUGGCAGCAGGACUACCAGCUACAGCCUGAACUAAUUAAGUAGCACGAGCUUGCAAGAAUAUAUAUGUAUGUUUGAAUAAAGUCAUGGAUAGCUUGCUAGCUACCUCGAUCAACGAAGCAACACAGUCCUGUUAUCAUCUAUACGAACCUGCAAGUGCAAAGAAUAAAGCAAGUAGCUCGAUCAGCGGAGCAACGCAGUCCUGUUAUGUAUUACUCCCUCCUCCCAAAUUAUAAGAAUUUUUAGCUUUUCUAAGUACAUAGUUCUUGCUUUGCUAUGCAUCUAAAUAUAGUGUAUGUUUAGCUGUAUACAAACAUCUAUGAACUAGAAAAACCAAAAGAACCUACAAUUUGAGGAAAUAUCUUCUAUACUGCUAAUACCCUCAAAGCAAAUGGCACGAAUUUACAAUUUUACAUUGGCAUCACUCUGGGCACACACGUUUGGUUUAUUGCCAACGUGCGCCUCGCCAUUUUUUGGCGCGCCCAUACAAAUUUGGCCAGUGCUUGAAUCGGUGCCGCUACCUUAGCGAACCCAUGCCCCUGCGCCCGUGCCAGAGGAGAGCUAGUUCAUUUUCUUGCCUAAGCAUCAUCGGCAAAACGAGGAU
rnacentral:lncRNA from 1 species